rnacentral:rRNA from 1 species
GAUGAACGCUGGCGGCGUGCCUAAUACAUGCAAGUCGAGCGAACAGACGAGGAGCUUGCUCCUCUGACGUUAGCGGCGGACGGGUGAGUCACACGUGGAUAACCUACCUAUAAGACUGGGAUAACUUCGGGAAACCGGCGCUAAUACCGGAUAAUAUAUUGAACCGCAUGGUUCAAUAGUGAAAGACGGUUUUGCUGUCACUUAUAGAUGGAUCCGAGCCGCAUUAGCUAGUUGGUAAGGUAACGGCUUACCAAGGCAACGAUGCGUAGCCGACCUGAGAGGGUGAUCAGCCACACUGGAACGGAGACACGGUCCAGACUCCGACGGGAGGCAGCAGUAGGGAAUCUUCCGCAAUGGGCGAAAGCCUGACGGAGCAACGCCGCGUGAGUGAUGAAGGUCUUCGGAUCGUAAAACUCUGUUAUUAGGGAAGAACAAAUGUGUAAGUAACUAUGCACGUCUUGACGGUACCUAAUCAGAAAGCCACGGCUAACUACGUG